ensembl:snoRNA LOC120102740 small nucleolar RNA SNORA76
GAAGGGCUGGCCCCAGCGCACCUCCUCGUGGUGCCAGGGUUUAAGCUGCGGUGCUUUAGCACUUUGCUGGUGCAUAACUGGGGCCGCCUGCCUAUCGCAGGCAGCCCUUUUAACUGCUAGCUACAGGC